AGGACCUCAAUAACUCUCUCCCCCUUUGUUCCAAAACACUGUGCUCUUUCAUCUACAUGAUCGUCAUCUAGGCAGGUUGCUCUUCUUCAUGGCUCUUCGCAAUCAGCGACACAAUGUCAUGAUGUUACAUCACGUGCACCAUUACGAGAAGAGAGCCUGGAGCUGGAAGAGGAGCCAGGUUAUCCUUUUCUGUACCAGAUGUCUCUCAAAGUGUGCCACGAGCUGGGCACAGGUGCCACUAGCUAUGAUGCCCCCUUGGGUUUGCGCCAUGGAAGACAGCAGCAGUCAGUGCCAGAUUAAACCCUGUGGAGGCCCCUAGGCAGUCAAAAUCUCGAGGACCCCCUUGCAAAUUAUCUCCUAAAACGAUUUUAAUUUUACCAAUCAACAGUCUAUGAUCUGGAAACUGUAAUGUGAAUCUGAUGUCUAUAGUUUAUGAUCUUAAAGUUGUUAAUGGAUACAUUACAUUAAUAUAGGCUUUUAAUGUGAA